rnacentral:rRNA from 1 species
GUGGGGAAUAUUGCGCAAUGGGGGAAACCCUGACGCAGCGACGCCGCGUGAGCGAAGAAGGCCUUAGGGUUGUAAAGCUCUGUUUUAAGGGACGAAUGUCGUGGGGAGUAAUAUGCUCUGCGAAUGACGGUACCUUAAGAGGAAGCCCCGGCUAACUACGUGCCAGCAGCCGCGGUAAGACGUAGGGGGCGAGCGUUGUCCGGAAUUACUGGGCGUAAAGAGCACGUAGGCGGGAACUUAAGUCAGGUGUGAAAGACCGGGGCUCAACUCCGGGGUUGCACUUGAAACUGGGUUUCUUGAGGGCAGGAGAGGAAAGCAGAAUUCCUGGUGUAGCGGUGAAAUGCGUAGAUAUGGGGAGGAACACCAGUGGCGAAGGCGGCCUUCUGGACGGUGUCUGACACUGAGGCGCGAAAGCCAGGGGAGCGAACGGGAUUAGAAACCCCUGUAGUCC